rnacentral:snoRNA from 1 species
GCAGUGAUGAGCACUGCAAUCUAUGAGCAGUGAUGAGCACUGCAAUGAGCUGAUGA